rnacentral:rRNA from 1 species
UGGGGGAUAUUGCACAAUGGGCGAAAGCCUGAUGCAGCGACGCCGCGUGGGGGAUGAAGGCUUUCGGGUUGUAAACCUCUUUCGCUAUCGAACAAGGCCCGCUUAGGGUGGGUUGAGGGUAGGUGGAGAACAAGCGCCGGCUAACUACGUGCCAGCAGCCGCGGUAAUACGUAGGGCGCGAGCGUUGUCCGGAAUUAUUGGGCGUAAAGGGCUUGUAGGCGGCUUGUUGCGCCUGCUGUGAAAACGCGGGGCUUAACUUCGCGCGUGCAGUGGGUACGGGCAGGCUUGAGUGUGGUAGGGGUGACUGGAAUUCCAGGUGUAGCGGUGGAAUGCGCAGAUAUCUGGAGGAACACCGAUGGCGAAGGCAGGUCACUGGGCCAUUACUGACGCUGAGGAGCGAAAGCAUGGGUAGCGAACAGG